rnacentral:rRNA from 1 species
CUGCCAGAAUUCAUAUGCUUGUCCCGAAGACUUAAGCCAUGCAUGCCCAGGACAAAUCUAGGCCUUGGGGGGAAUUUCCUGCGGGAAGACUGGCAGAGAUGGGUUUGCUCGUAAGACCACUCAAGUGUUCCCCCCUCGUAGGCCGGAGGAAUCAGCGAACGGCUCCGCAUAUCUGUUGUAACCUAUCGUGGUAAGUUGGGCGUGGAUAUUGCAUGGAAAAGCUAUGUGUAACACAGCUGAAUGGGGCUCCUAUACCUCCCUCGGCCGAGUGCCUCUCGGCUCGUGUGGGUUAACUGGGCGUUCAGGCGUUCUUGACCGACGUCGGCCCGGCCUCGCAUAAUCCUCCCAAAGUAUGGUGUGCCCGGGUGGUGCCGCCCUUUCUGGGCCGCCUGCCCCACACCGAAAAACGGAGGCCUCUUCUGGGGAACUCUUCCGACCGGGCAUCACGCCCAGCCCGAGAGGCUGUGCAGGCGUCAGGCUCAGCCUGAAAAGGCCACAUGUAUGCAAGGAUGGAGCUGGGAUUUGGCCCGGAUCGCGCUUCCCCGCACAGAAGAGCCUAACCACGUGCGCACGAUGGGCUUCAGACCUAUCAGCUUGAUGGUAGGGUAUUGGCCUACCAUGGCUUUGACGGGUACAGAGGAUUAGGGUUUGAUCCUGGAGAGGUAGCCUGAGAGAUCGCUCCCACUUCUAAGGAAGGCAGCAGGCGCGUAACGUUCCCAAUGCUCAGCGAGUGAGGACGUUAUGGGAUAUAACAAUACCUCUUUUAAGUAAGUA